rnacentral:lncRNA from 1 species
AUUGUAUCCCACAUUUCUUUUGCUGUGUUGCACGAUGAUACUUUAUCAAUUUCAGCUUGGACCAUUCCGCUUAGCAAGGUGUUCAUGGCUCUUGAGUUGUAGGAAAACAUAUAGCUUUCGUUUGCAUCCAUCUCCAUGAGAGCCUUUGGUUUGCCAUCAUCAUGUCUAGGAAUGAUAGGUCCAUUUUCAACAACCCACCAUUCCCAUGGGUCUCUUUUAAGAAAAAUCUUCAUUCUGAACUUCCAAAAGUUGAAGUUUUCACUUCCGAACAACAGCGGUGGCCUACUUGUGGACUGACCUUCUUGAAAGUUUAGGUGUGCCAUAGGAUCUUCCCCUACGACCUGCAACGAUCAAUAUUAGUAGAGCCUUG